UGCCCCAUAGUGUAAUGGUAGCACCGCAGAUUCUGGUUCUGCUUGUCGAGGUUCGAGUCCUUGUGGGGCAGCCA
rnacentral:tRNA from 1 species